rnacentral:misc_RNA from 1 species
GAUGAAGAACGCAGCGAAAUGCGAUACGUAAUGUGAAUUGCAGAAUUCAGUGAAUCAUCGAAUCUUUGAACGCAUAUUGCGCUCUCUGGUAUUCCGGAGAGCAUGCUUGUUUGAGUAUCAGUAAACACCUCAACUUCCAUAUCUUUUUUGAAAUGGGAGUUGGACUUGAGUGAUCCCAACGCUUUUCCUCACCGAAAAGUGGCGGGUUACUUGAAAUGCAGGUGCAGCUGGACUUUUCUCUGAGCUAUAAGCAUAUCUAUUUAGUCUGCCAAAAAAACAGAUUAUUACCUUUGCUGCAGCUAACAUAAAGGAGAUUAGUUCUUGUGCUGACUGAUGCAGGAUUCACAAAGACAGGCUUCGGCCGACUUUGUAAACUCGAUCUCAAAUCAAGUAAGACUACCCGCUGAACUUAAGCAUAUCAAUAAGCGGAGGA